AAGGUUUUAAGUUAAUAAAACUAAUAGCCUUCAAAGCUGUAAUUAAAAUAAAUUUUUUUAAACCUUA
rnacentral:tRNA from 1 species